CGUGACCGUGGCCCAGCGCGGCCACGUAGACCUCGCGAUCCCACGGGCAGCCGCGGCCAUGCGCGUACGCCAGGCAUUCGAGGUGUCCGCCGCCAGCGGCGGCCGUGCACGUGGUCGCAUCCCACGGACACCCAUGGCGGAAGAGGUAGUCGAGAACGUCGAGCCUUCCGUGCGCCGCUGCGGCAGCGGUCGCCUGUGCGUCCCACGGGCAGCCGCGCCGACGCAGAUAGAUCAAGGCAUUCAUGUUGCCCGCGCCGGCCGCCGCAGCCAUGGCCUUUGGCGUCGGCGUGCACCCGCGACUGCACAGGCGGUCCAACAUGGCAAUGUCGCCAUGGCGCGCCGCCAGGAUCACCCAGCGCGGCCCGUAAAGCGUGACGACGUCGCCGGUGCCGUUGUUUCCGUCGACUCGAUCUCUCGUAUUCUCAUCGUGACCCGCGCGGAUCUUUGCGCGGCCGCGACUGGCGGCAGCGGGCGCCUUUGCUUGGCCGACAGUCGGGUCGACAAUGUCGUCGUCGCCGCCGCCGAGACAGCGCGCCCACAAGAGAUCGACGCAGGCAACGUCGCGACCUGCGACGGCCGCCUGAAUGGCGUGGGUCGCGACAACGCGUCCGUCGUACUGGGCGAGCAGCAGGCGCAGCACGUCGACGCUACCGGCUCGGGCCGCGGCGAGGAUGGCCGUGGCGUCCCACGGGCACCGGCGCCGCAUGAGCCACUGGACGACGUCGACGUGGCCGCCGCGGGCCGCCGCCGCCAUGGUGCUCUCGCCGCGCGGGCACCGGCGCGUCUGCAACAGGCGCAGGAGCGCAAUGUCGCCCGACUCGGCGGCGCGGUCGGCGCUGGCGCGCGUGGGCGGAUGCGACUCCCACAGCCAGUCGAGCACGACGCGCUGCUUGGCAGCCGCCGCCGCGGCCUCGCACGCGCCCUGGUCGUACGGAUGCCUGUGCGUCGCCGCAUAGGCCAGGAUGCCGAGGCGGCCGCACGACGCGGCCUCGACGCACGCGGCCGGCACCCACGGGUGGCCCAGCAUGCGGCACAGCACGUCGAGGACCGCGAUCCGGUCGUUGCGGGCCGCACAGAGGCACGCGUGCCCACGGUACCGGCACUGCGGGUCGUGCGCGUAGAGGCGCCAGUCGGCGGCGGCGUCGCCGAUAAGGUUGGUGAUGUAGGGUCCCACGUAGUCGAUGUGCGCGGGAUCGGCCGCACGCGCACGGCGCGCACAGACGGGCUCGGCGCGCGUCAUCACAUCCGCGGCAAUGCCCUUCCACCGGACCGACACGGCGCCCGCGCCCGCGUACAGAUCGGCGCAGUCAAGGCGGCCAAACACAUCCACAAGCACCUCGUCGGGCAGAUCGCCGAUGGUGCACAUGCUGUUGUCGUCGCAGAGGUUCGAAAUUUAAAGGGGGGGCGUAGCCCUAGGACGGAAAGAGUGAAUGUUGGCCUGGUUGUUGGUCUGUCGGUCGUCGCCGUCGCCGAGCGAUAACGAUGCCGCCGCGGCGUGCUGUUUCAUCCCUGUUGCAUCCGACUGCGGUCGUACCAGCGACCAAUAACCAAGAGAAAAAUAACCGUCGACAUGCGCCGUGAUUGGAGAAUGUUCUUUUUUGUCUUGGCCUAUAG
rnacentral:lncRNA from 1 species